UUCACUGUCAGUACAAAGAGUUAAUUGCGUAAAAUACUUUUACUAGCUACACACGUAUAACAUGACCUCACACGGAAAAACCACAUUCCAGGAGUGACAGGGCAGGUUUUCCAGAUGCCUUUUGCCCUCUGGGACGUUUCCUAUCCUUCUCAAAAUGCAGCAUGGGCUGUGGAAAAGUUCCUUCCACAAACAGGCAAACCCUACCUUCUUUUUACUCUUGUUCUCCUUCUGGAUACAAGCUUGGCUGGCCGAGCAAGAUUUCAAAGGCGGGGGAUGUUAUGUUUUCUCAAAGGAAUUCCUCAGGCAGUGAUUUAGAAUCUACCUCCAAAAUCAGCCCAAACAAACCAAUCCCUGGGUUGGAUCCACCGUCUUCAUCACCACCUCCAAGUUCCCCUCAUCUUCUCCCCAUAGGCACCUGAGAAAUUACACAUCUUUUCCGACUCAUCAGUGUCCCAGGAUUUUCAGUAUUUUUGAUGGAAAAAAAAAAAAAAAGAAGAAAAAUCUGGCUACAUUUAAUUGAGAUUAAGAUCCUUUUUGAUCAGUCCGCAGACAUCCUUUUAAAGCUCCUUCUGAUUGGAUUAAAAACUCCUCUGGCAAGCCUCUAGCAGGACCGAAUGGUGACAUAAAUGCAAGCCCCUGAGUUAUUUGUAUGUAAAUAUGAGGACUCCUCCAGUGUAGACUUUCCGUAAUUUGAUACCGUCGCCCUGAUGCCUAACCGGGUAACCGAGACAGCCUUCCAUCCAGGGAGAGCCAGCAGCAAGAGCUCCCGCGUUUAACUAGGAGGACCUUAUUCUCCAGCCUGAAAGAAGAAACAGCCAACCCAGGUGGAGGAAAAGCAGGAGAAGAAAACAAAGAAGUGGCCAGAGCAGGGAGUGGCCUGAGAGUUCCAGGCAAACUGUAACUUUGUUCUCAGCUGGGAACACCAGGAGCCUGGGUUAUUUAUGGUCCCCGUCAGGUGGAAGGGGUGGGGGGGGAGAGAAAGAGGGAGGGCCUGCCCUGAAGUUGAGCUUGGGAACCUGCAGGGCAGAGGGAAAGGGUGGUGACUGCCACAAUUCUCCAAGCGGCGCUGCAGGACACCCUCCUCAACUGCUGCUUUUUAUCCAGAGUGGGAGGAAAGGAGCAGAAGUGAGACAAGCUGGGGAAACAGUAGUGGACGUUCUGUUUUAUCUUCCGCACAUGUUCUUUCAACUCUUUAAUCGGCUCAGAGGAACUAACUGGUCCUGUCUCCUGGAGGGAUCCCUGGAGAGGAUGCAAGGCAGGAGGGAGCUGGCUCGGCUGUGGAGGUCUCGGCUGCCUGCUGGGUGGGGGGGAUGGAGGCAGCCGGGAGGGGCUUCUAUCACUGAGCUAUUGCCCUGUUACCCUUCCUGGGGGCUUCUGGCCUCCCCUCCCAGCGCUCUACCCUGUUUCUGUUGGCCGUAGCGGGACUUCUGCAUCCUGCAUCAGGGUCCACAGGAGAGGCAGUUUCAAUCGCUUUUUCUCAGAAUGGCUAGAGCAUGAACUAAAGAGUGUCAAGGGUUUUGAAACUGAAGUAAGUGGUCUGCAGCACUUUUUCAUGAGGUAGCAUCUCUCCUGGAUUGUUACCUAAAUAUACAGAAACGUGAAUCUGUAGCGGCCGAUGAAGUGGAGAACAGAUUUGUCGUUCAGGGAUAAAUGCAUAAAUAAUGACUCAUGUAUUAAGCUGAUAUGACACCCAGUGCUUUCAAUUGAUCAGCCCAGCUUUAAUCAACAUCCUCAAUAGGCAGAAAUACAGGGAAAGCCAUUCAGAAUAAGGCCUGGCCCAUAUUGAAAAAUAUUCCAAAAAAUAAUAAUACAAACGUAAGAAGAAGAAGCAUUUCCAACCAUGUAAAGAAAGGAAGGGGAAAAUCGUGGUUAAAGAUGGUAAAAACGUCUGAGGUUGAAUCUGUUUUGCACUUCUGCACUUAAAAUACAAACUUCUUAGCAAAGCCUGGUUGGAUGAAAACAUUCAUUCAAGCUUCCCAACAAGGCCUACAAUGAAAGGUUCCUUUCUUAAGACUCCUGGGCCAGGAGUUCCCAUUGUGGCUUAGAGGAAACAAACCUGACUAGCAUUCAUGAAGACUCAGGUUCUAUCCCUGGCCUCGCUUAGUGGGUUAAGGAUCUGGCAUUGCUGUGAGCUGUGGCGUAGGUUGCAGAGGUGGCUUGGAUCUGGUGUGGCUGUGGCAUAGGCCAGUGGCUAUAGCUCCAAUUCGACCCCUAGCCUGGGAACCUCCAUAUGCUGCGGGUGCGCGCGCACGCACACACACACACACACACACACACACGCACACGCACACACACACACACACACACACACACACACCUGGCCCAGACUCUCACCACAUCCCUCCUGUCCCUCUGUUAUGCAGAAUUCUUUGAGGCCCUAGAAUUCCUGAAAGUCUUUAGACUUUGAACCACAAUGGGUGGACUCCCUUGAAGGAAGCUUUACCCCUCUUCUCCUGAGUGAUUUCUCCAAUUUUUUACUUUUUCUAGAACUCCUCUCUCCCACCAUUCACCAUCUUAAAUUAGGUGCCACUCAGGCAGGCUUGUCUUAUUAGACUAUAUUGGCAGGAAAAAUACAUGCUGAGUCUCUCCUGUGGGUUAGUGAGAACCCCAAAUCAGGAACCCAAAUUUUCCUGGGCCUAGUGCACCAUAAAUAUUUUUGGAACUCAUGACUGCUUUUAUUAAAGAGGUGGGCGGUUUGGCCUUUUCUCCCAUCUACAUACCACACAACUUCAUACUCUUUUGGCACACCAAGCUUGAUGACUGGUAUACAGUAAAAUUUUGAUAAAAUUAAGCUUCUAGUCUUUUUUUACACAUCCUUCUUAGACUUCAGAAAUGGUCACUAUGAAACCAAAAGAAGCCCAGAGUUGGGAUGGGGGUGGGAGGUGUCAAUACGUUUGGCCCGAGAUUACUCAGAAUAUUCUUAGGACUAUUUAGUGAUAGUAAUUAAGUAAUUAUGUAUUUACCAUUUUAGAAUGGUGAAAACUGUUCCUAAAGGGCAAGGAAUUUAGAAAUAAAGGCAAUGAUGUUAUCUUAAUGCAAUUUUGCCUGGAUUCAAAUUGAAGCUUCAUCGCUUAUUGAUUAAGUGACCUUUGGAAUGCUGUUUACUCUGAGUCACAGUUUCAACCUCUAGUAAACUGGAAAUAACAACUCUGCCUAAAAUCUCUUGGGGGGGGAUUAAAUGAAAUAAUGCACAAAGAAAGGGCUUAAUCAGCACUAAUUGUUAGCAUUAUUCUGUAACACAGCCCAAACAUCUGAACUCACAUAGUUAUCACCUAAAAUGCUACUAUUGGAGUUCCCGUCUGGUGCAGUGACUGACUGAAUAAAUGAAUGAAUGAAUAAUAUUAACAACUAAAUCAUUCUCAAUGAACAAAAUAGUCUAUAAUUAUCAUAUAGUGUAACACACUCCUAUACCAAAGAGCAGAAAGGAAUGAGAUGAACUGUACUGACUCAUUAAUGGCCUCUAAUCCAUUUUAUAAUCCAAAAAUAUUUUGAUUAGGUAGCAGCUUCUGACCAACAGGUACAAAUGUGUAUAAGCCAACAAAAGUAAUUCUAUGAAUGAACAACACUCAUACAAUAGCAGAUAUCUUUAGCUUAAAAAAAAAUAUGUAUAGAUUACCAAAACACACACAUUUUUACUUACUAAGUAUUCGUGUGGGUUUAUGUUUCCUAGAAGAGUCUGGUGCAGUGGCCUAACUGUUGUGUUAAAGAUAAAUCUGACUGUUUUCUGGCAAGGAUGGUGUGGUAGCUGGUCUUUAAAGAUGCUGUUGGAGUUCCCGUCAUGGCGCAGUGGUUAGCGAAUCCGACUAGGAGCCAUCAGAUUUCGGGUUCAAUCCCUGGCCUUGCUCAGUGGGUUGGGGAUCUGGCAUCGCUGUGAACUGUGGUGUGGGUCGGCGGCUACAGCUCUAAUUGGACCCCUAGCCUGGGAACCUCCAUAUGAGGCAGGAGCAGCCCUAGAAAAGGCAAAAAAAAAAAAAAAAAAAAAAGAUGCUGUCUUCAUCCCAUCUGAUGAGCCAAGUCCCCUUGUAUCCAUGCCUUGUGCACUGAACUCUUUUAAAGUCUGGGCUGGCUCGAUCUUUGAACAAUAAACUGCAGAGGAAGUGAUUUUACAUGACUUUGGUGUUUGACAUAAAAGACACCUUGCAGUUUCAACCUGAGUCUCUUUGGAACACUUGGUCAGGGGAAGUCCAUCCCAAGGCAAGAAACUGGAGGACCAUGAGGCCACCUCAUGUACAAGUGUAAAGAAAGUCAAGGUAGCCGUGUGGCCAAGGUAGCCGUGUGGCGAGAGAUGCCAGUCAGCGCUCGGCUGUUCCUACCACCCUCACUGAACCCCCGCCAUGCUACUCCUGAUUCAGUUGCUCUUUGACUGGAGCCUCUUGAAAGAUCUCAAGAACCCAGCUGAACCCUGUUAACUCACAUACCCUUGGGAGAUGAUGAUAACACAUUAAACUACUGAGUUUUUGUUUCUUGUUUUUUGUUUUUUUCUUUUUAGAG